rnacentral:rRNA from 1 species
UCCCAGACUCCUACGGGAGGCAGCAGUGGGGAAUAUUGCGCAAUGGGGGAAACCCUGACGCAGCAACGCCGCGUGCGGGAUGAAGGCUUUCGGGUUGUAAACCGCUUUCAGCAGGGAAGAUAAUGACGGUACCUGCAGAAGAAGCCCCGGCUAACUACGUGCCAGCAGCCGCGGUAAUACGUAGGAUCCGAGCAUUAUCCGGAGUGACUGGGUGUAAAGAGUUGCGUAGGUGGCAUAGUAAGUAGCUAGUGAAAUCUGGUGGCUCAACCAUUCAGACUAUUAGCUAAACUGCUAAGCUCGAGACCGUGAGGGGUAACUGGAAUUUCUAGUGUAGGAGUGAAAUCCGUAGAUAUUAGAAGGAACACCGAUAGCGUAGGCAGGUUACUGGGACGGUUCUGACACUAAGGCACGAAAGCGUAGGGAGCAAACGGGAUUAGAUACCCGCGUAC